GGAGCCAUAGCUCAGUUGGUAGAGCACGGGCCUUUUAAGCCUGGUGUCGCGGGUUCGAGCCCCGCUGGCUCCUCCA
rnacentral:tRNA from 1 species